rnacentral:rRNA from 1 species
UCAGGAUGAACGCUGGCGGCGUGCUUAACACAUGCAAGUCGAGCGGAAAUAUUAAAGCUUGCUUUGAAUAUUUAGCGGCGGACGGGUGAGUAACGUGUGGGUAACCUGCCAUAUACUGUGGAAUAACCAUUUGAAAAGAUGACUAAUACCGCAUGUCGUCACCGAGGGCAUCCCUUGGUGAAAAAAGGAGUAAUCCGGUAUAUGAUGGACCCGCAUCUGAUUAGCUAGUUGGUGAGAUAAUAGCUCACCAAGGCGACGAUCAGUAGCCGACCUGAGAGGGUGAUCGGCCACAUUGGGACUGAGACACGGCCCAAACUCCUACGGGAGGCAGCAGUGGGGAAUAUUGCACAAUGGGCGAAAGCCUGAAUGCAGCAACGCCGCGUGAAGGAAGAAGGGUUUCGGCUCGUAAACUUCUAUCAAUGGGGAAGAAAUAAAUGACGGUACCCAAAUAAGAAGCCCCGGCUAACUACGUGCCAGCAGCAGC